UGGGGAAUCUUAGACAAUGGGCGCAAGCCUGAUCUAGCCAUGCCGCGUGAGCGAUGAAGGCCUUAGGGUUGUAAAGCUCUUUCACCGGGGAAGAUAAUGACGGUACCCGGAGAAGAAGCCCCGGCUAACUCCGUGCCAGCAGCCGCGGUAAUACGGAGGGGGCUAGCGUUGUUCGGAAUUACUGGGCGUAAAGCGCGCGUAGGCGGAUUGUUAAGCCGGGGGUGAAAUCCCGGGGCUCAACCCCGGAACUGCCUACGAUACUGGCAGUCUAGAGGUCGAGAGAGGUGAGUGGAAUUCCGAGUGUAGAGGUGAAAUUCGUAGAUAUUCGGAGGAACACCAGUGGCGAAGGCGGCUCACUGGCUCGAUACUGACGCUGAGGUGCGAAAGCGUGGGGAGCAA
rnacentral:rRNA from 1 species